GGGUUGUGAGGUUAAGCGACUAAGCGUACACGGUGGAUGCCCUGGCAGUCAGAGGCGAUGAAGGACGUGCUAAUCUGCGAAAAGCGUCGGUAAGGUGAUAUGAACCGUUAUAGCCGGCGAUGUCCGAAUGGGGAAACCCAGUGCAAUUCGUUGCACUAUCGUUUGAUGAAUACAUAGUCAAACGAGGCGAACCGGGGGAACUGAAACAUCUAAGUACCCCGAGGAAAAGAAAUCAACCGAGAUUCCCCCAGUAGCGGCGAGCGAACGGGGAGCAGCCCGGAGUCUGAAUCAGCUUGUGUGUUAGUGGAAGCGUCUGGAAAGUCGCAGGGUACAGGGUGAUACUCCCGUACACUAAAACGCACAGGCUGUGAACUCGAAGAGUAGGGCGGGACACGUGGUAUCCUGUCUGAAUAUGGGGGGACCAUCCUCCAAGGCUAAAUACUCCUGACUGACCGAUAGUGAACCAGUACCGUGAGGGAAAGGCGAAAAGAACCCCGGCGAGGGGAGUGAAAAAGAACCUGAAACCGUGUACGUACAAGCAGUAGGAGCCUCUUUAUGGGGUGACUGCGUACCUUUUGUAUAAUGGGUCAGCGACUUAUAUUCUGUAGCAAGGUUAACCGUAUAGGGGAGCCGCAGGGAAACCGAGUCUUAACUGGGCGUUAAGUUGCAGGGUAUAGACCCGAAACCCGGUGAUCUAGCCAUGGGCAGGUUGAAGGUUGGGUAACACUAACUGGAGGACCGAACCGACUAAUGUUGAAAAAUUAGCGGAUGACUUGUGGCUGGGGGUGAAAGGCCAAUCAAACCGGGAGAUAGCUGGUUCUCCCCGAAAGCUAUUUAGGUAGCGCCUCGUGAACUCAUCUUCGGGGGUAGAGCACUGUUUCGGCUAGGGGGUCAUCCCGACUUACCAACCCGAUGCAAACUACGAAUACCGAAGAAUGUUAUCACGGGAGACACACGGCGGGUGCUAACGUCCGUCGUGAAGAGGGAAACAACCCAGACCGCCAGCUAAGGUCCCAAAGUCAUGGUUAAGUGGGAAACGAUGUGGGAAGGCCCAGACAGCCAGGAUGUUGGCUUAGAAGCAGCCAUCAUUUAAAGAAAGCGUAAUAGCUCACUGGUCGAGUCGGCCUGCGCGGAAGAUGUAACGGGGCUAAACCAUGCACCGAAGCUGCGGCAGCGACACUAUGUGUUGUUGGGUAGGGGAGCGUUCUGUAAGCCGUUGAAGGUGGCCUGUGAGGGUUGCUGGAGGUAUCAGAAGUGCGAAUGCUGACAUAAGUAACGAUAAUGCGGGUGAAAAACCCGCACGCCGGAAGACCAAGGGUUCCUGUCCAACGUUAAUCGGGGCAGGGUGAGUCGACCCCUAAGGCGAGGCCGAAAGGCGUAGUCGAUGGGAAACAGGUUAAUAUUCCUGUACUCGGUGUUACUGCGAAGGGGGGACGGAGAAGGCUAUGUUGGCCGGGCGACGGUUGUCCCGGUUUAAGCAUGUAGGCGGAUGUUCCAGGUAAAUCCGGAACGUUAUUAACGCUGAGGUGUGAUGACGAGGCACUACGGUGCUGAAGUGACAAAUGCCCUGCUUCCAGGAAAAGCCUCUAAGCAUCAGGUAACAUCAAAUCGUACCCCAAACCGACACAGGUGGUCAGGUAGAGAAUACCAAGGCGCUUGAGAGAACUCGGGUGAAGGAACUAGGCAAAAUGGUGCCGUAACUUCGGGAGAAGGCACGCUGAUAUGUAGGUGAAGUGGUUUACCCAUGGAGCUGAAAUCAGUCGAAGAUACCAGCUGGCUGCAACUGUUUAUUAAAAACACAGCACUGUGCAAACACGAAAGUGGACGUAUACGGUGUGACGCCUGCCCGGUGCCGGAAGGUUAAUUGAUGGGGUUAUCCGUAAGGAGAAGCUCUUGAUCGAAGCCCCGGUAAACGGCGGCCGUAACUAUAACGGUCCUAAGGUAGCGAAAUUCCUUGUCGGGUAAGUUCCGACCUGCACGAAUGGCGUAAUGAUGGCCAGGCUGUCUCCACCCGAGACUCAGUGAAAUUGAACUCGCUGUGAAGAUGCAGUGUACCCGCGGCAAGACGGAAAGACCCCGUGAACCUUUACUAUAGCUUGACACUGAACACUGGUCCUUGAUGUGUAGGAUAGGUGGGAGGCUUUGAAGUGUGGACGCCAGUCUGCAUGGAGCCAUCCUUGAAAUACCACCCUUUAAUGGCUGGUGUUCUAACGUGGGCCCCUAAUCGGGGUUGCGGACAGUGUCUGGUGGGUAGUUUGACUGGGGCGGUCUCCUCCUAAAGAGUAACGGAGGAGCACGAAGGUCAGCUAAUCCUGGUCGGACAUCAGGAGGUUAGUGCAAUGGCAUAAGCUGGCUUGACUGCGAGCGUGACGGCGCGAGCAGGUGCGAAAGCAGGUCAUAGUGAUCCGGUGGUUCUGAAUGGAAGGGCCAUCGCUCAACGGAUAAAAGGUACUCCGGGGAUAACAGGCUGAUACCGCCCAAGAGUUCAUAUCGACGGCGGUGUUUGGCACCUCGAUGUCGGCUCAUCACAUCCUGGGGCUGAAGUAGGUCCCAAGGGUAUGGCUGUUCGCCAUUUAAAGUGGUACGCGAGCUGGGUUUAGAACGUCGUGAGACAGUUCGGUCCCUAUCUGCCGUGGGCGCUGGAGAAUUGAGGGGGGCUGCUCCUAGUACGAGAGGACCGGAGUGGACGCAUCACUGGUGUUCGGGUUGUCAUGCCAAUGGCAUUGCCCGGUAGCUAAAUGCGGAAGAGAUAAGUGCUGAAAGCAUCUAAGCACGAAACUUGCCCCGAGAUGAGUUCUCCCUGACUCCUUGAGAGUCCUGAAGGAACGUUGAAGACGACGACGUUGAUAGGCCGGGUGUGUAAGCGCAGCGAUGCGUUGAGCUAACCGGUACUAAUGAACCGUGAGGCUUAACCUUACAACGCCGAAG
rnacentral:rRNA from 1 species